GAUGAAGAACGUAGCGAAAUGCGAUAAGUAGUGUGAAUUGCAGAAUUCAGUGAAUCAUCGAAUCUUUGAACGCACAUUGCGCCCCUUGGUAUCCCGAGGGGCAUGCCUGUUCGAGCGUCAUUUCACCACUCAAGCCUGGCUUGGUGUUGGGCGACGUCCUCUUUGGGGACGCGCCUCGAAACGCUCGGCGGCGUGGCACCGGCUUUAAGCGUAGCAGAAUCUUUCGCUUUGGAAGUCGGGGCCCCGUCUGCCGGAAGACCUGCUCGCAAGGUUGACCUCGGAUCAGACAGGGAUACCCGCUGAACUUAAGCAUAUCAAUAAGCGGAGGA
rnacentral:misc_RNA from 1 species